UACGUAGGGUGCAAGCGUUGUCCGGAAUUAUUGGGCGUAAAGAGCUCGUAGGCGGUUUGUCGCGUCUGCUGUGAAAACUCGGGGCUUAACUCCGGGCCUGCAGUGGGUACGGGCAGACUAGAGUGCGGUAGGGGAGACUGGAAUUCCUGGUGUAGCGGUGAAAUGCGCAGAUAUCAGGAGGAACACCAGUGGCGAAGGCGGCUUCCUGGACCUGAUCUGACGCUGAGGAGCGAAAGCGUGGGGAGCGAUCCGG
rnacentral:rRNA from 1 species